rnacentral:pre_miRNA from 1 species
UCAUAUGGACGAGCAAAGAAAGUAGUUUCUUGAUUGGAACCUCCUCCUGGUGAAGAUGCUGUGAA